rnacentral:rRNA from 1 species
UACGUAGGGGGCAAGCGUUGUCCGGAUUUAUUGGGCGUAAAGAGCGUGUAGGCGGCCAUACAGGUCAGCUGUGAAAACUCGAGGCUCAACCUCGAGACGCCGGUUGAAACCGUAUGGCUAGAGUCCGGAAGAGGAGAGUGGAAUUCCCGGUGUAGCGGUGAAAUGCGUAGAUAUCUGGAGGAACACCGGUGGCGAAGGCGGCGUCCUGGACCAACACUGACACUGAUGAGCGAAAGCCAGGGGAGCAAACGGG